UACGUAGGGACCAAGCGUUGUUCGGAUUUACUGGGCGUAAAGGGCGCGUAGGCGGCGUGGUAAGUCAGUUGUGAAAUCUCCGAGCUUAACUCGGAACGGCCAACUGAUACUGCUGUGCUAGAGUGCAGAAGGGGCAAUCAGAAUUCUUGGUGUAGCGGUGAAAUGCGUAGAUAUCAAGAGGGAAUACCAGAGGUGAAGACGGGUUGCUAGGCUGACACUGACGCUGAGGCGCGAAAGCCAGGGGAGCAAACGGG
rnacentral:rRNA from 1 species